UAUACUGUUAAAAAAGUAAUAACCAUUUAUAAGUUUUAAUACAUUUUGCCAUAGUGACUAGAUCAAUAGAUUUUAGUGUGUUAGGAAUUCAGGCCCUCGUAAGUAGGAGAGAUCGAUUUUGGGGAGGGACUGAAUUAUUCCGGUUAUAUCUUCUCAUAUUUUAUCUACAAAAUAUAUUUCAAAAUUUUCUUUAAGGUAUAACAAUAAAUCAUAUAAGUGAUCUCCCCUUACAAAGCAAAACAUUUGAAUUUUGAAUUUAAAAAAGGUUCUGUUUAAAAUCCAAUGAUUUCCUCCACUUAAAUGAAUAGACCUAGACCUUCAAAAUAAAUUACAUUUCUCAAUCAACAUUUGCUCAUAUCUGUAAUAAAUCACAAUGUAGUAGUAAAAAUUAUAAUCAAAAAUAUAGUAAAAACUAUAUGCAUACGUUGCUAAGCUUGUAGGAGAACUGAUCAAUAGAAUUUUAAAUAGAAUAUAUACAAGAAGAUCGCUGUCAGAAAGCAAACAGAGAAAUGCAUUCACUGAAGUUGUUUCUACUUGCAUGUAACAAAAUAAAAAAAAUUACUGUAGAAACUGUAAAUUAAUCUAUAACAUCCAAAUUACUUUAGCUUCCACUUCGUUAUACGUAUUUAAAUUUUGGAAUUUUGAAAGAUGUAAAAAUUUUGAGUACCAGAUCUGCAAUGCAAACCUAUUUAAGGACCUGGAUUUUUCUAGUUACUGUAGGUUUACAUAUUUGCUUCUUUUGCAGAUCUAUUUAGGACAUUUUUGUAGGAAUGUAUACACAUACUUGCAGUAAAAUGACUAUGUUUGUGAGACAAGGAUGGUUUAAGUUUAGGUCUUACCAAAGUCAAAUUUUUCUGGACCUAAGAUUUGCAAGUAAUGGAAAACCAAACCAUGAACUGGGGAAACCACAAAUUAAAAAUCAAAGACGCCUUCCAUCAAGGUCAUCUCUUUCACCACUACAGCGUCUGAAUUCAUUGUUGCCAGAACAGUUUCAAGUUGAAGAACUACAAAAGCCAACCAAUAAGACUGACAAUAAAAAUAAAGUACAUGUAGAAUGCAUAACAAAGAAAAGACCAGUGAAGAAGUUCUCAGUGUAUGAUAGAGUUAAUGACCAGCUGUCAACAUAUACAAAUGAUGAAAAACCUGAAUAAAGACAAAUGAUAUUAUAAUAAUUAAGGUUCAUCAAAGAUUUCAUCAGGCGAGUUGUCACCUGAAGAAAUGUACCAUGAUGCACUAGCAGGACUAGCAGAAUCAUACUGGCUGUCAUGAUCACACUCUUCACAACGUUUUGGAGAAGCAUGAGGACCUCUAGGAUAUCCAUCAUCAUCAGGAUCCUUCAUGUAACCUCUAAUAGCUCCAGCAUGAUGUAAAGCUCUGCUACGUUUCCAAACUGGAUGACUGAUAUCUAUUGCCAUAAUCUGAAAUUUUUAUUACAAUUAUGAAAAAGUUGUGGUCUUGUACAUACUUCACUUAUAUAAAUAUUCCAAGGUAA